rnacentral:rRNA from 1 species
GGGUGCGUUUGUUACUUCAAACCAAUCGGACUUCGGUCUGAACUCAUGUGAUACUGAACAAUUUAGCUGAUCGCACGGUCCAAGCACCGGCGACCUAUCCUUCAAAUGGCUGCCUUAUCAACUUUCGAUGGGARAUUAUGCGCCUACCAUGGUUGUAACGGGGAAACGAGAAUCMRGGUUUGAUUCCGGGAAGGGAGCCUGARAAACGGCUACCUCCCGGCACGGGGAGGUAGUGACGAAAAAUAACAAGCUGGUCUCAAUGAGUUCCGGCAUUGUAAUGGGAACAAUUUAAAUCAUUUAUCGAGGAUCUAUUGGAGGGCAAGUCUGGUGCCAGCAGCCGCGGUAAUUCCAGCUCCAAUAGCGUAUAUUAAAGUUGUUGCGGUUAAAAAGCUCGUAGUUGGAUCUAGGAUUAGGGAUACGGUCGUUCAGCUGGACGCACUGUAUGCCCGACUCCUUUUCUCUAGUAUUCGAUUGUUGCUCUUAAAUGAGUGACUUUAGUUGCUGGAACUUUUACCUUGAAAAAAUUGAAGUGCUCAAAGCAGGUUUUGCCUGAACAUUGCUGCAUGGGAUAAUAGA